AGCCCGUGGGCUCGGCUUUCCGCAAAUAGCUGAUGUAUUUGCUUCAUCUACAUCUUGGUGCUGGGUCCUGAAACAGAUAGAAACAUUAGGGCUUGCGGUUAAUUCGCCUAAAUAAAGAGUUUUAGCCAUAAUAUUGUGCAGAAGGGUUCAUACUUGCUGGCAGGAAUACUUCUGACAUCUACACACUGCCACUUGUUCCAGGCACAGUAUGGAUCCCUGGAGAGGAUGCACUCCCCACAGCUCUGAUAAUUAGAGCAGUUAGCUACUGGGACCUCAACAACUUCAGAGAGAGACGAAACGUAGAGCCGACCCUGGAGGGAGACCACAAUGUAGUUGCAACAAAUCCUUCAGCAAGAGUCAUUCACAUGUGAUAGUCACUCUGCGGUGUGGAAGCUCCAACUCACUUCCUCCAUUUACCCUAAGAUGCCGAAACUGCAGACGAGGCUUGCUGAUAAAAUGUCAAGCGGCGGAGCACCUGGUUUGAUUGCAGAGUCUGCCACAGCUUUUAAUGCCUGACACUGCGAAAAAAGAGCAGCAGGAGCUCCGCAGCAGAACCAGAAAACCUGGACAAAAGGAGCUUUCACUGAAGGUUUUUUUU